GACAGACACUAAACUACAUUUAGAAAGCUCAGCACGUCUGAUCUCAGAAGCUAAGCAGGGCUGGGCCUGGUUAGUACUUGGAUAGGAAACCACCUAGGAAGACCAAGUGCUGUUU
rnacentral:rRNA from 1 species